AGAGUUUGAUCCUGGCUCAGGACGAACGCUGGCGGCGCGCCUAACACAUGCAAGUCGAACGAGCGAGAGAGAGCUUGCUUUCUCGAGCGAGUGGCGAACGGGUGAGUAACGCGUGAGGAACCUGCCUCAAAGAGGGGGACAACAGUUGGAAACGACUGCUAAUACCGCAUAAGCCCACGACCCGGCAUCGGGUAGAGGGAAAAGGAGCAAUCCGCUUUGAGAUGGCCUCGCGUCCGAUUAGCUAGUUGGUGAGGUAACGGCCCACCAAGGCGACGAUCGGUAGCCGGACUGAGAGGUUGAACGGCCACAUUGGGACUGAGACACGGCCCAGACUCCUACGGGAGGCAGCAGUGGGGGAUAUUGCACAAUGGGGGAAACCCUGAUGCAGCGACGCCGCGUGGAGGAAGAAGGUCUUCGGAUUGUAAACUCCUGUUGUUGAGGAAGAUAAUGACGGUACUCAACAAGGAAGUGACGGCUAACUACGUGCCAGCAGCCGCGGUAAAACGUAGGUCACAAGCGUUGUCCGGAAUUACUGGGUGUAAAGGGAGCGCAGGCGGGAAGACAAGUUGGAAGUGAAAUCCAUGGGCUCAACCCAUGAACUGCUUUCAAAACUGUUUUUCUUGAGUAGUGCAGAGGUAGGCGGAAUUCCCGGUGUAGCGGUGGAAUGCGUAGAUAUCGGGAGGAACACCAGUGGCGAAGGCGGCCUACUGGGCACCAACUGACGCUGAGGCUCGAAAGUGUGGGUAGCAAACAGGAUUAGAUACCCUGGUAGUCCACACUGUAAACGAUGAUUACUAGGUGUUGGAGGAUUGACCCCUUCAGUGCCGCAGUUAACACAAUAAGUAAUCCACCUGGGGAGUACGACCGCAAGGUUGAAACUCAAAGGAAUUGACGGGGGCCCGCACAAGCAGUGGAGUAUGUGGUUUAAUUCGAAGCAACGCGAAGAACCUUACCAGGUCUUGACAUCCGAUGCAUAGUGCAGAGAUGCAUGAAGUCCUUCGGGACAUCGAGACAGGUGGUGCAUGGUUGUCGUCAGCUCGUGUCGUGAGAUGUUGGGUUAAGU
rnacentral:rRNA from 1 species